GUAGGGAAUAUUGCACAAUGGGGGAAACCCUGAUGCAGCGACGCCGCGUGAGUGAUGAAGGCCUUCGGGUCGUAAAGCUCUGUCGUAUGGGACUAACAAAAUGAAGGUACCAUGCAAGAAAGGAUCGGCUAACUUCGUGCCAGCAGCCGCGGUAAGACGAGGGAUCCUAGCGUUGUUCGGAAUUAUUGGGCGUAAAGCGGGUGUAGGCGGGCCUGUCAGUCAGGUGUGAAAUCCCAGGGCUUAACCCUGGAAGUGCACUUGAUACUGCAGGUCUUGAGUGUGGUAGAGGCUAUUAGAAUUCUUGGUGUAGUGGUGAAAUACGUAGAUAUCAAGAGAAUACCGGAGGCGAAGGCGGAUAGCUGGGCCAACACUGACGCUGAGACCCGAAAGCGUGGGGAUCAAACAGGAUUAGAAACCCGUGUAGUCC
rnacentral:rRNA from 1 species